AUUGAACGCUGGCGGCAUGCUUUACACAUGCAAGUCGAACGGUAACAGGCCGCAAGGUGCUGACGAGUGGCGAACGGGUGAGUAAUGCAUCGGAACGUGCCCAGUCGUGGGGGAUAACGCAGCGAAAGCUGUGCUAAUACCGCAUACGAUCUGUGGAUGAAAGCGGGGGACCGAAAGGCCUCGCGCGAUUGGAGCGGCCGAUGUCAGAUUAGGUAGUUGGUGGGGUAAAGGCUCACCAAGCCAACGAUCUGUAGCUGGUCUGAGAGGACGACCAGCCACACUGGGACUGAGACACGGCCCAGACUCCUACGGGAGGCAGCAGUGGGGAAUUUUGGACAAUGGGCGCAAGCCUGAUCCAGCAAUGCCGCGUGCAGGAAGAAGGCCUUCGGGUUGUAAACUGCUUUUGUACGGAGCGAAAAGGCUCUCUCUAAUACAGGGGGCUCAUGACGGUACCGUAAGAAUAAGCACCGGCUAACUACGUGCCAGCCGCCGCCGUAACAC
rnacentral:rRNA from 1 species